rfam:Oryza sativa Japonica Group DNA, chromosome 8, cultivar: Nipponbare, complete sequence.
UUUAAAUGCAACCAUAAGUUUCCGCACCUAACUUUGAUCAUCCGUCUUAUUUGAAAAAAUUUUAUAAUUAGUAUUUUUGUUGUUAUGAGAUAAUAAAACAUAAAUAGUACUUUAUUCGUGACUUAUGUUUUUAAUUUUUUUAAAUAAGACGGACAGUCAAAGUUGGUCGCGGAAAACCAUAGCUGCACUGAAA